GCAGAUGAGAGCAUGCGCAGAUGGGGGGGCGGGUGCGCCUUCUGACUCGGCUGUCUAUCCGUGCGCUUUUACGCGCCGAGCCAAAGUACUAACAUUCCCCUGGCUUCAUAUUUCGUUGCUGAGAUAAGAUGCCUGAGUCAUUCCUUCAGGAUCAUAAUUGGAUUAAGAGAACACAUCAUUUCCAGGAUUCUCCACAGGCAAUAUCGAAUGAAACAUGGAGAAAGGAAGAAGUCACACAUGUUGGGUUCAGAUGCACAAAAGUUCUCCAUGCAAAAAAGAUCCUAGUGGACAUAGAACCAGGUCAGACUAUUUGACCGUCUACCCAAAUUUCUAUAACUGGCAAGAGCUCUCCAUGGUGUCAUGGAGAAACCACAUCAACAGCGAUCUAAUCCUUUUAACUGUGGAUGGCAAGGCUUGCUCAAUAGAACCUUCUGCUUACAAAGAAUGUGCUCUACCCCUGAGCUUUCAUCCCUCUGCAUGGAAGAAAGUAAUGUCUUCUCUGGUGCAAUCAUUCCUUGUGCCAUUUUCCACUGGAUGUUAACCCACAGUUUCCAUGCUUUUUGGAGCACACCUGAAAUGGUUAGUCCCUUAACUCUCAUAUUAAAAAUGAAUUGAUCUUACAACAACCAGCUGGAAUAGGGACAUAUCAGGGUGGUGCAGGAAGGAGCCAAAUUGCUUGAUUAAUUUGAUGUAAUCUGCAAACUUGGCUUCCAUUCGUUGACUUGCUCCUGAUUCUACACUACAGUCUUUUGUAAGAAUUACUGUACACUUCCCCCCAUUGUCCAUCUAGUCCUUCCCUCUGCUUCCCGUUUUUUUUACCCAUUAUUUUCCUAGUGUGCCUACUAAAUGUUAAUUCAGUGCUAGGUCAUGUUAGAGUAGUGACUAUCUGAAAUACCCAAUUUUGAAAAUGUUUCCCUAAUUAUAAUUUUCUUUAUUUUGUAUAUGCUUAGUACAUAGCUUGUAUAAAUUAAACAAGACACAUCUGGCUUCUUUUGCAAUUAGUUUGAUGUCAACCCAAUUUUCAGUAGAUAGAUUGGACUACAAAGGUUCAUGUACACCAUGUUGACUUCCAUGGUAGAAGAAAGGUAGGAUAUUAAUAUACUAAAUAAAUAAGUUCUUUUGAAAAAGACACCUGACUAGCAGGACCUAGACUGCCAAACUGAUAUUUCCACUGAAUGCCCUCAACUUUUCUUAACAGUCCAUUGUUUCAAAGGAAUGUCUUAUCUGAGGGAGGUCAAACAGGUAGCUUGUAGCAAUGUUGGAGCAAGUAACACUUCAUUAAUUUAGAGUCAUUGCACAUAAAUCACAAGGAAUUCUAUUAUGCUGAUCUAAAGUACUUCAUUUUGGAUUUUAAGUUGGCUUGCCAUUCCCCCCAUCCCUCAGUCUGUGCUUUAAAAUAUGUCUCUGGUUUCUGGUUCACUAAUGUUUCAAAAUGAGCAGAGACUUUGUGAACUAAUAUUUACAGUGCCUCAGUGUUCUAGGUAAAAUUAUUAUUUUGUGUAAAGUGUUCUGAGCCAAAUGAAUGAGGAAGAAAAAAUACACUGAGAAAUCUUACGUUCCACACCUCAAAUCUUAGAUAAUAAUUAAGUGCAUCUGUGUCACCCUCCCUUUAUUGUCCUCUACACAAUAUUGUAUUUUUUUU